GAUGAACGCUGGCGGCGUGCCUAAUACAUGCAAGUCGAGCGAACAGACGAGGAGCUUGCUCCUCUGACGUUAGCGGCGGACGGGUGAGUAACACGUGGAUAACCUACCUAUAAGACUGGGAUAACUUCGGGAAACCGCAGCUAAUACCGGAUAAUAUAUUGAACCGCAUGGUUCAAUAGUGAAAGACGGUUUUGCUGUCACUUAUAGAUGGAUCCGCGCCGCAUUAGCUAGUUGGUAAGGUAACGGCUUACCAAGGCAACGAUGCGUAGCCGACCUGGGAGGGUGAUCGGCCACACUGGAACUGAGACACGGUCCAGACUCCUACGGGAGGCAGCAGUAGGGAAUCUUCCGCAAUGGGCGAAAGCCUGACGGAGCAACGCCGCGUGAGUGAUGAAGGUCUUCGGAUCGUAAAACUCUGUUAUUAGGGAAGAACAAAUGUGUAAGUAACUAUGCACGUCUUGACGGUACCUAAUCAGAAAGCCACGGCUAACUACGUG
rnacentral:rRNA from 1 species